rnacentral:rRNA from 1 species
AGAGUUUGAUCCUGGCUCAGGAUGAACGCUAGCGACAGGCCUAACACAUGCAAGUCGAGGGGCAGCGAAGAGGUAGCAAUACCUUUGCCGGCGACCGGCGCACGGGUGAGUAACACGUAUGCAAUCCACCUGUAACAGGGGGAUAACCCGGAGAAAUCCGGACUAAUACCCCAUAAUAUGGGCGCUCCGCAUGGAGAGCCCAUUAAAGAGAGCAAUUUUGGUUACAGACGAGCAUGCGCUCCAUUAGCCAGUUGGCGGGGUAACGGCCCACCAAAGCGACGAUGGAUAGGGGUUCUGAGAGGAAGGUCCCCCACAUUGGUACUGAGACACGGACCAAACUCCUACGGGAGGCAGCAGUGAGGAAUAUUGGUCAAUGGACGCAAGUCUGAACCAGCCAUGCCGCGUGCAGGAUGACGGCUCUAUGAGUUGUAAACUGCUUUUGUACGAGGGUAAACGCAGAUACGUGUAUCUGUCUGAAAGUAUCGUACGAAUAAGGAUCGGCUAACUCCGUGCCAGCAGCCGCGGUAAUACGGAGGAUUCAAGCGUUAUCCGGAUUUAUUGGGUUUAAAGGGUGCGUAGGCGGUUUGAUAAGUUAGAGGUGAAAUACCGGUGCUUAACACCGGAACUGCCUCUAAUACUGUUGAACUAGAGAGUAGUUGCGGUAGGCGGAAUGUAUGGUGUAGCGGUGAAAUGCUUAGAGAUCAUACAGAACACCGAUUGCGAAGGCAGCUUACCAAACUAUAUCUGACGUUGAGGCACGAAAGCGUGGGGAGCAAACAGGAUUAGAUACCCUGGUAGUCCACGCAGUAAACGAUGAUAACUCGCUGUCGGCGAUACACGGUCGGCGGCUAAGCGAAAGCGAUAAGUUAUCCACCUGGGGAGUACGUUCGCAAGAAUGAAACUCAAAGGAAUUGACGGGGGCCCGCACAAGCGGAGGAACAUGUG